UGAGGAAUAUUGGUCAAUGGACGCAAGUCUGAACCAGCCAAGUAGCGUGCAGGAUGACGGCACUAUGGGUUGUAAACUGCUUUUAUAUGGGGAUAAAGUGGGGAACGUGUUCCCUUUUGCAGGUACCAUAUGAAUAAGGACCGGCUAAUUCCGUGCCAGCAGCCGCGGUAAUACGGAAGGUUCGGGCGUUAUCCGGAUUUAUUGGGUUUAAAGGGAGCGUAGGCCGUUUGGUAAGCGUGUUGUGAAAUGUAGGAGCUCAACUUCUAGAUUGCAGCGCGAACUGUCAGACUUGAGUGCGCACAACGUAGGCGGAAUUCAUGGUGUAGCGGUGAAAUGCUUAGAUAUCAUGAAGAACUCCGAUUGCGAAGGCAGCUUACGGGAGCGCAACUGACGCUGAAGCUCGAAGGUGCGGGUAUCGAACAGG
rnacentral:rRNA from 1 species